GGUCCCAUGGUUUAGUGAUCAGGACAUUGGACUCUAAAUCCAGUAGCCUGAGUUCAAGUUUCGGUGGCACCU
rnacentral:tRNA from 1 species